GACGAACGCUGGCGGCGUGCUUAACACAUGCAAGUCGAACGGAAAGGCCCCUUCGGGGGUACUCGAGUGGCGAACAGGUGAGUAACACGUGAGUAACCUGCCCUUGACUUCGGGAUAACUUCAGGAAACUGGGGCUAAUACCGGAUAGGAAUCCUUGCUGCAUGGUGGGGGUUGGAAAGCUUCGGCGGUUUUGGAUGGACUCGCGGCUUAUCAGCUUGUUGGUGGGGUAGUGGCUUACCAAGGCUUUGACGGGUAGCCGGCCUGAGAGGGCGACCGGCCACAUUGGGACUGAGAUACGGCCCAGACUCCUAUGGGAGGCAGCAGUGGGGAAUAUUGCACAAUGGGCGGAAGCCUGAUGCAGCAACGCCGCGUGCGGGAUGACGGCCUUCGGGUUGUAAACCGCUUUCAGCAGGGGCGAAGCUUGUGGUGACGGUACCUGCAGAAGAAGCACCGGCUAACUACGU
rnacentral:rRNA from 1 species